rnacentral:rRNA from 1 species
AGUGAACGCUGGCGGUAGGCCUAACACAUGCAAGUCGAACGGCAGCACAGGAGAGCUUUCUCUCUAGGUGGCGAGAGGCGCACGGGUGUGGAAUACACAGGAAUCUGCACAGUCGCGGGGGGUAAAGCAGGGAAACUUAUGCUCAUACAGCACACACCCUUCGGGUGAAAGAGGAGGAUAGCAUGACCUCUCGCGAUUUGAUGAGCCGAUGUCGGAUUAGCUAGUUGGCGGGGUAAAGGCCCACCAAGGCGACGAUCCGUAGCUGGUCUGAGAGGAUGAUCAGCCACACUGGAACUGAGACACGGUCCAGACUCCUACGGGAGGCAGCAGUGGGGAAUAUUGGACAAUGGGCGCAAGCCUGAUCCAGCCAUACCGCGUGGGUGAAGAAGGCCUUCGGGUUGUAAAGCCCUUUUGUUGGGAAAGAAAAGCAGCAGGUUAAUACCCCGCUGUUCUGACGGUACCCAAAGAAUAGGCACCGGCUAACUUCGUG